rnacentral:rRNA from 1 species
UUGACCUCGGAUCAGGUAGGGAUACCCGCUGAACUUAAGCAUAUCAAUAAGCGGAGGAAAAGAAACCAACAGGGAUUGCCCCAGUAACGGCGAGUGAAGCGGCAAGAGCUCAAAUUUGAAAGCUGGCUCCUUCGGGGUCCGCAUUGUAAUUUGCAGAGGAUGCUUCGGGAGCGGUCCCCAUCUAAGUGCCCUGGAACGGGACGUCAUAGAGGGUGAGAAUCCCGUAUGGGAUGGGGUGUCCGCGCCCGUGUGAAGCUCCUUCGACGAGUCGAGUUGUUUGGGAAUGCAGCUCUAAAUGGGUGGUAAAUUUCAUCUAAAGCUAAAUAUUGGCCGGAGACCGAUAGCGCACAAGUAGAGUGAUCGAAAGAUGAAAAGCACUUUGAAAAGAGAGUUAAAAAGCACGUGAAAUUGUUGAAAGGGAAGCGCUUGCGACCAGACUCGCUCGCGGGGUUCAGCCGGCAUUCGUGCCGGUGUACUUCCCCGCGGGCGGGCCAGCGUCGGUUUGGGCGGUCGGUCAAAGGCCCUCGGAAGGUAACGCCCCUAGGGGCGUCUUAUAGCCGAGGGUGCAAUGCGACCUGCCUAGACCGAGGAACGA